CUAGCUUGCUAGUUGCUGACGAGCGGCGGACGGGUGCGUAACACGUAGGAAUCUGCCCGGUAGUGGGGGAUAGCCCGGAGAAAUCCGGAUUAAUACCGCAUACGCCCUAAGGGGGAAAGCAGGGGAUCUUCGGACCUUGCGCUAUCGGAUGAGCCUGCGUCGGAUUAGCUUGUUGGUGGGGUAAUGGCCUACCAAGGCAACGAUCCGUAGCUGGUCUGAGAGGAUGAUCAGCCACACUGGGACUGAGACACGGCCCAGACUCCUACGGGAGGCAGCAGUGGGGAAUAUUGCACAAUGGGCGAAAGCCUGAUGCAGCCAUGCCGCGUGUGUGAAGAAGGCUCUAGGGUUGUAAAGCACUUUCAGCGAGGAGGAAAGGGUGUANGUUAAUACCNUGCAUCUGUGACGUUACUCGCAGAAGAAGCACCGGCUAACUCCGUGCCAGCAGCCGCGGUAAUACGGAGGGUGCGAGCGUUAAUCGGAAUUACUGGGCGUAAAGCGUGCGUAGGCGGCUUGUUAAGUUGGAUGUGAAAGCCCCGGGCUCAACCUGGGAACUGCACCCAAAACUGGCAAGCUAGAGUGCGGAAGAAGAGUGUGGAAUUUCCUGUGUAGCGGUGAAAUGCGUAGAUAUAGGAAGGAACACCAGUGGCGAAGGCGACACUCUGGUCUGACACUGACGCUGAGGUAC
rnacentral:rRNA from 1 species